CUUUAUUUUUUUUUUGGAGUUGAUUGUUUUAUUCUAAGUAGGGAGGAGAUGUAGUGUACCUUGCAUGAACAUGCUUACAUGAACACGCUUACAUGAAGUAAUUAUAAGACUGAGUGAUCGCUAAGGACAAUGGGACAUUCGCGCUCAAAAAGAAUAGCAUGUGUUUAGAUUUGUGAAAAGAAUUGUUAAUAAAAAACGUUUGAAAACUCAAUAAUACUACACUUUUUAAAAGCUUUUUGUUGAGAACCACCCCUUCUAGUGCUACGUAUGCUGUAGACUCAUCCUCUAACCAUUUUGUCUUCUUUCCUUUCUUCUAGAGAGACGCCCAUGUCCAAAAUUUCAAAAACGCUUGCCAUUCUCCCAGCUGUGUUUGUUAAGCACAUGAUUCAAGAUGGAGACCCAUUUCUCACGUAAACAUACUUCAGCAUCACUACCACAAGUCUAUGAACACCAGCACAAACAUUUCUCUUUGUCUUAGCUUUCUCCAAAUUUUUUUUUAUCCACUUCCACAGAUACCACACAUCCUACGGAUGGAUUAUUGAAGGAAUUUUUUAU